rnacentral:rRNA from 1 species
UACGGAGGGAGCUAGCGUUGUUCGGAAUUACUGGGCGUAAAGCGCGCGUAGGCGGCUUUGUAAGUUAGAGGUGAAAGCCCGGGGCUCAACCCCGGAACUGCCUUUAAAACUGCAUCGCUUGAAUCCGGGAGAGGUGAGUGGAAUUCCGAGUGUAGAGGUGAAAUUCGUAGAUAUUCGGAAGAACACCAGUGGCGAAGGCGGCUCACUGGUCCGGUACUGACGCUGAGGUGCGAAAGCGUGGGGAGCAAACAGG